GACGAACGCUGGCGGCGUGCUUAACACAUUCAAGUCGAACGGGCCCGCCCCUGUUUUUGGGGGUGGGUUGAGUGGCGAACGGGUGAGUAUCACGUGAGUAACCUGCCCCCUGCUCCUGGAUAACUGCUUGAAAGGGCGGCUAAUACGGGGUGUGCCGGCUGGUCCGCAUGGGCCUGGUCGGGAUAGUUUCAUCUUCGGGUGUUUCGGUGGGGGAUGGGCUCGCGGCCUAUCAGCUUGUUGGUGGGGUGAUGGCCCACCAAGGCGGUGACGGGUAGCCGGCCUGAGAGGGUGGGCGGCCACACUGGGACAGAGACACGGCCCAGACUCCUGCGGGAGGCAGCAGUGGGGGGUAUUGCACAAUGGGCGGAAGCCUGAUGCAGCGACGGCGCGUGAGGGAUGGAGGCCUUCGGGUGGUGAACCUCUUUCUCCGGUGGUGAAGGCCCUGUCCGUUGCGGCGGGGUUGACGGUAGCCGGGUAUGAAGCGCCGGCUAACUACGUG
rnacentral:rRNA from 1 species